UGUCUUAUGAAUGAAUAAGUUUCCAUUCCUUUUUCAAUAGUCACAAACUUCCUUUGACAUUCUUCAAUUAUGUUAAUGCUUUUCAAUCAGUCAGUAAAAAAAAACGAGAAAGACAAAACAAAAAAAAGCAAAUAAAGAACUUUUUAUUAAAUAUAAAACAGAUAAGCUACAUAGAUAAAACACAAAACAAUUAAAGCAACU
rnacentral:lncRNA from 1 species